AUAGCAUAAUGUUUAGAAAUCUGUGUAUCUGGAACAAACAUUUAUUUAGUAGACGGGUACAUGUUACUCGGGUACUGUGAUUAUCAUAUCCAAUAUGAAAUUUCAUAUGGAAUUGAAUAUAAGGAGUGUGUUUUUAGUAUAAAAAGUCAAAAGGAAUUAAUAUUUUUAAUGUUAAUUUAAUGUUGUUCUACCUACAAUUCAGUGUAGUGUUAUUGAAAGUGACGUAGCAUGUAUGAAUUCUGUUAAAAACAAGAAAUGCUUAGUAAUUGAAGGAAAUUGGGUACUAUGAUAAUCUUCUAUGAAUCAAUAAAUCCAAUAACAGGCGUGAUGACGAUAAAGCAGUUGCUAUUAAGAGGAAAACUAAAAAUAAAGUAAAACAGGGUUAUACGUAAUUGGAAAUCGGAUUUACCUUUUAUUAAUUUUUAAGGUCCCUGAGGAAUAUAUGUCAGGGGAACGACGAAAGCAGCAAAAGCUGCCAAAAAAAGAUCUACGUUUAGUUUCGACAAUGGACAUAAAUUAAAGUCCCAUUUAAUGUUUAAUAAUUUCUAACUUAAAAUAAAUUUAAGGUGAUAGCACUUUCGUAUUACUUCACGUUAAAGUAUUAUAGAAAAAAUAUGCCUCAUUCCGCUUAUCAAUGAAUGAUUAGUUCCAUGCGCUCUACACAUCUCAAUGACGUGCACUAAGUAGGAAGUUAUGACUUCAUUAUCUGCCUCUUAAAUUAAGGGAAACAUUAUCAUGGUUUGAGGGGCACUGUGUUAUGAAAAGGUUGAUAAACUUUAAACUUUUAAACAACGCAACGUUGAUACUGUAAUUUCGAAUCUCUUCUCUGUGAUUUCUGACGCAAUACGUAGGCAAUUCGCAAUCGCUAAUUGUUGUGUGUUAUUACGCAAACCGAAGUAUUUGAGAUAGAUGAUAACAAUCCUUUAUCUUUAUAUUUCGCUAACGGGGUGUGUUGACGUUUAUGCAUUUGGUGUAGAUAUAUUUUGUCAAUUUUUUCGUAGUUUUUUAUGUUUUAAAAUCGCUUCUUCAUUGUAUGAUUCUGUUUUGAUGCAGUCUUUUAAAAUGCACUAAUAAUAUGCCUACACACACACAACCACACGCAACACCCAUCUACAUACCUAAAUAAGUGCAAAAUAAUAUAAAUUUCCCAUUUUUAUUUUAUAUUUAUUAUUAAAUAAUGGUGAGGUACUUGUAUUUAUUUUGUUUUUGUGAAUUUCAUAAUAUCAACCGAAUUAAGGGAAGUCUUUGGCUCCGUUAACACAGAGAAUCAAACUAGUAAAGAAGCCAAGGAUAUAUAAUUAAAUAAUCAAAAUACAGGAUUAUAAAAAUUAAAACAAAUUUAUAUCAAAUGUAUUUGUAAAACUAUAUGUGAACUGUAAUAUUGUGUUUUGAAUAAAUAAAAUAAAUAGAUAUGUUGAUCAAAAAAUUAUCGUUUACUGGGCGCUUUAAAUUCUGACAUAUAUUUUUUUCUGUAUUUUGAAAUGUAAAUGUUGCUUUAUGUAUUUUUAUUAAUAUUUUAUUAAGAUGGUGGCGUCACUUCGGCGUAUGUUGAUCACGUAGUAUUUAUGAAAAGUUCUAUAUUACAAUAAUACUAGUAUAGUUAUUAUUGUUGUUAUUAUCUGUGGUAAUAGGUAGUACGUAUUAUGUAAUUGUUGCAGUACUUUAAUUGUUAAAUAUCAUAUCAAAUGUUAUUACUCAUUUUAUUCGUUGUUUUUCACUUACAUUCGAAACAAUCAUAAUUCAAAGAUUGCUUCGUAAUCUAAGUUCAGAGGUUAUUUCGAAAUGUUAUUUUAAACACCAGAUUUUAAUAAAGCAAAAAGUGCGUCUUGUAGGACACUCGGGUUGUAAUAUAAUACCUAUCUCGUUCUAGACAGUAGAAAAACAGAUGUUUUAAUUUAAAAAGCCUGUUCUGUCCUAGGAUACUCAAAUAUUAUGUCCAGACUUUCAUUUUUGCACAUGUCUCAUGCAGUUUAAACCACUUAGAAAUGUGUGUAUUUUAUGGGAUAGAAAAGUCGAUCUUAAAAUUAAUUUCCACUAUAGUUAAUUCUAGUAACCUUGCAUCCGUCGAAUCUCAAGCUUUGUCAACUUCGUUCAACAAUUUGCUCGAAGUAAAAAAAAAAUCUCUUUGCUCUUGCGCUACUGCCGCUGCUCAUACAAAACCUACCACGGACGUGUCGGAUUACAUUCUUAUUGCGUACAAUACCGUCAAACAAAUCAAAGUCAUCGGUCGCAUUUAAGUUACGCUUAUCAUAAUUUUAUUAACAUAAUUCGAUAACAGCAAGCAAGUAAUGAUAAAAAUUGGACACUUAUGAAUGAUAAAGAUUGUUAUACCUGACCUUUAAAAAUUUUAACAUAUACUUGGAUAAUUAAACAUGGUAUUAUACUAUUGUAAUGUAGCAAUUUGAAUAAAAAUGUUAUGACUACUGAUAUAACAGCGAUAUCAGAAAUUGCAUUAGGUACUUUAGCAGAUUUAUAUUUGUCUAGUUUUAAAGUUUGUCAUUUGAAAAUACGAGCCUUCGUAAGUCUGCAUGGCACUCUACUUUAGAGUAGAGCUUGUUCACGCUAUCCUCAUUUCAACGACGUCGCUACCUGAUAAAAAAAGCUAUCGAGGGGCAGCGGUAACUAUAUAUUUUAUCUAUGCAGCAGUCAAGAGGUCGCAACUCAUUUGCCUAAAUAACUGUUAACUGCAAAUGAUUGCAUCUUAUAUUCUGUUAAUUACGCCUUAAUUUAAAUAUU